rnacentral:rRNA from 1 species
UACGUAGGGGGCAAGCGUUAUCCGGAAUUAUUGGGCGUAAAGAGCUCGUAGGCGGUUUGUCACGUCUGCUGUGAAAACUGGAGGCUCAACCUCCGGCCUGCAGUGGGUACGGGCAGACUAGAGUGCUGUAGGGGAGACUGGAAUUCCUGGUGUAGCGGUGAAAUGCGCAGAUAUCAGGAGGAACACCGGUGGCGAAGGCGGGUCUCUGGGCAACAACUGACGCUGAGGAGCGAAAGCGUGGGGAGCGAACAGGAUUAGAACCGGUAC